UAUCUUUAGUUGCCAUCAGGUAAUGCUGGGGACUCUAAAGAGACUGCUGGUGAUGAACCGGAGGAAGGCGGGGACGACGUCGAGUCAUCAUGGCCUUUAUGGGUAGGGCUACACACGUGCUACAAUGAGUCGUACAGAGGGAAGCCAACUCGCGAGAGGGAGCCGAUCGCCAAAGCGUCCUCGUAGUCCGGAUUGGAGUCUGCAACUCGACUCCAUGAAGUCGGAAUCGCUAGUAAUCGCGAAUCAGAAUGUCGCGGUGAAUACGUUC
rnacentral:rRNA from 1 species